AGAUUGAACGCUGGCGGCAUGCCUUACACAUGCAAGUCGAACGGUAACGCGGGGUAACCUGGCGACGAGUGGCGAACGGGUGAGUAAUACAUCGGAACGUGCCCAGUAGUGGGGGAUAGCCCGGCGAAAGCCGGAUUAAUACCGCAUACGUCCUACGGGUGAAAGCGGGGGACCGCAAGGCCUCGCGCUAUUGGAGCGGCCGAUGUCAGAUUAGGUAGUUGGUGGGUAAAGCUACCAAGCAACGAUCUGUAGCUGGUCUGAGAGGACGACCAGCCACACUGGGACUGAGACACGGCCCAGACUCCUACGGGAGGCAGCAGUGGGGAAUUUGGACAAUGGGCGCAAGCCUGAUCCAGCCAUGCCGCGUGCGGGAAGAAGGCUCGGUUGUAACCGCUUUGUCAGGAGAAAGACUCCGAGCCAAUACCUUGGGUGAUGACGGUACCUGAAGAAUAAGACACCGGCUAACUAACGUCGCCAGCAGCCGC
rnacentral:rRNA from 1 species